AAUCAAACGUGGACUAAAUGUUUUUUCUCGAAGCGUCUGUCUUUAUUUGACACGCGUUUCUAAAGAACAAAUAUCUAUCUUACGUCUACAUGUGAGCUACUACACUGCGUCCUAUUUAUUGAGAACACUCAAAGGACUUCCCUAAGUGUCGACGUCAUCGUCAAAUUUGCAGAAGCUUGUUUCCAAAAUAAUCACGAUAAAUUUUGGAGCUUUUGCCAAUGCCAAGGGGAACGACGCAGUUUUUACCGGGCAAUAUCACAAGAGAGGAAAAAAUAUUAGUGUCCCAGUGUAUUCUAUAAAAAAUUAUUCUAAUAUAAGUGACAAAGAUGGUAUUUUAGUAUAAUUGAUGAAAAGUUUUCAACACUAUUAUUCUUGAGGUCAAAAUCCAUUCUUCAACUAAAAUAUUUUUAUCACUUAUGACAGAUUUAUAAAUUGGUCGGAUAAAUGCUUCACCAAUAAACCAACCACGAGCUUACGAAAUAAAGAUGAUGCACUCACAAUUAAAAAUAAAUAAUCUAAUAACAUCGGCCAAGCCAAUUGA